UCCGAGGAUUCGUCGACCAGGUC
rnacentral:siRNA from 1 species